GCAGGUGCAGGUCAUUUUCAUCACUUUUUUUCCCUCCGUGUUCCUUGAUGAUACAAAUCUUGGAUGUAUAUUAGUUUACUCCUUAAAUAUCUGGUUGGUCACUGUUUCACACACUGAUUCUUCUGGCAUUUGGAAAGUGAUGAUUGUAGUGGGAAAAGCUGAACCAAGGACUUAGCAAUGUAUGCCUCUGCCAAGAGUUUUAAGAAGUAAAGUCAGAGUGAACAAGCAGACCCACUGAUUCCCAUUUCCAUAGUUUCCCACCUGUCGCAUUUUUGAGUCACCUCUAUGACAUGUCUUUGGGUCCCAGUCUGGCUUUGUCUUGUCCAGACACAACUUAGCUUAGCCCUGACUCAGCUGCUGCUGCUCUGACUUGCUUGGUUCCCGUGUCACUCCCUUCUGCCCUUCUGCCCUUUUCCAAGGAUACUGCUAAACCUUCUCUUCAGCAAUUUCCAGCUGCAGCAGCUCUUGGCCUCUUGCUUCAUGACCGCUCACCUCUCUGUUGCUACUUAAUUUGCCUCUGUUUCUGUCUUCUGUUCUACCCCAGGUUUCCCCCUCUGUAUGCCAUUCCCUCUCUAACAGGUAGCAAGCACAGGUCUUUGGCACAAUUUAACUUCAGAUUUAUCCACUUUUUGAGGCAUUUGAAUCGCAUCCUCUGAAACUGCUCUUGGGGGAAGCGCCAGGAUCAAUACUUCAUGAUCAUACUUUUCCUUUCUUCCCCACAUCCGACUGUGUUUUUUGUGAAGUUCAUGUCUCAGCUUAGAGUAAGGAUCUUGCUUUCCCAAAGGUUGCAGGAUGGCUACCACCUUAGCCUUUGGGUGGGGGGUGGGGUGGGGUCUUAGCUCCUCACUGGACUUGUGCUCAGUACUCCCAUGUCUUGCCACUAAGGAUUGAGGAGCUCCUGCAGGAAGAAUGAAUUGAACUCAGACAAUACUCCUGCUUAGAUAAUUGACCGACAACUGACAGCAGAUCUGAUUCCUAUACAAUAUCCUCUGAAGACUUUCUUUCUUUCUUUCUUUCUUUCUUUAUCUUUUUAGGGCCACACUCACAGCAUAUGGAGAUUCCCAGGCUAGGUGUCUAAUUGGAGCUACAGCUACCGGCUUACAACACAGCCACAACAACGCCAGAUCCGAGCUGCAUCUGCAACCUACACCACAGUUCAUGGCAAUGCCAGAUCCUUAACCCACUGAGCAAGGCCAGGGAUCGAACCUACAUCUUCAUGGAUAUUAGUCAGAUUCGUUUCUGCUGAGCCAUGACAUUAUUUAAAGCUGAAGAUCCUGAUUCCUUCCUGAGGAACAUUCUUUUUGUGUUAAAAUAAUCCAAGUAUGUUUUUUAAAUUGCAUGAAAUUCUAGUUGGCUGUCAAUUAUUUGAAGAAACUGAGAUGGGUUAGCAAGGUCAUUCUUGACUGACUUCAUCCUCUGUGUGGCUGUGCUCCAGCAACGUUGACACAGAGCUGGUACCAGUGCGGGUGAGGGAUAGAGCCUCCAGUAUUAGCAUCACCUGUACCUUCAAGAGGAAUUUCAAGCUGAAAGAGUCAGAUAUGAGAAAUGCCAUGUGUUUACUGACAGGGCCAUAUCCCAUUGUGGGGGAGCUUGGCCAUUUGGACUGGACCCUCACCCCUCAUACUAGAACCUCCGUCAAUGCAAGCUGGUAGGAGAAUGGGGAAGCCAGGAUUGAGGGGAACCAGGGAGAGUUACAAAGGUUAAUGUUGGCACAAAUUAUGAUUAGGGAUAUGGCCAUCUAAACCUGACCUGGACUGGCCUAGAUCAUCUUUCAGGAGUGUUUGGGGGUUAGAACAGUGAAAGGGUAGCCCAGGCUGGGAGUUUUUGCAUUGAAAUGAAAGGAGUGGAAGUAGGUUCCAUUUCUGUCACUAUCAGGUGGAAAGAUCUAUUGGUUCAAAAAAAGGAUUCUGGCCUGCAUCAAGGAAUAUGAACGGAGGGAGAUACAGCUCCCACAAGAAUGGAGGAAAGGCAUGGCACGUUGUCAAGGCUGUGGGUAAGACA
ensembl:lncRNA